GGAAAGAACAAAAAACGGAACAGUCCCCGUUCAUGGAUGAGGAAAUCAAUACAUUUGCUUCAGCCAUAAUGGCUCUGUUUUGGUCAGCAGCUUGCUCCUUGCUGCCCGGACUCCACAACUACCAAAUCCAACACAGAAGUCUAGGAAAAAUCAUCCUUUCUGUCCAAGUAGAAACCUGGCUCUGUGGCUGCAUCCUAUUCUAAGUCUCCUGCUUGCUGAGUUCUGCAAACUAACAGACUCUGCUCGCCGAGUGUGCUCAGUUGCUUUGUGCUGUCUUCCCUUCUUCCAGAACUGCAGUAGCUAAGGCAGGACUAACAGGUACU
rnacentral:lncRNA from 1 species